rnacentral:lncRNA from 1 species
AAGGAGGCCGAUCCCCUAAAGAGAUCAACCCCAAGUUUAGAAUCUGCAAGGGUUCUAUCACCUGGUAUCAGAGCAGCGUUCUUGGCAUCUCGCUGCCCUUCCAUUGCCAUCCAUCAGCCCUCCACAACCUCCCAAAGCAAUUCCCACAAUUGCUUAAAAGAUCGUCGCCGAAUUCUGCCAUCAUCUCCACCACCGUGGAUCAUCCUUUGAUCUCCCCGUGAAUUGCAACAGGUUCUGGUUUCCUACCUUACUGCUGCUGCAAUUUAGUUAUCCUUAUUUGAAAAAAAAAAAA